UUGGUUGUCGUCAGCUCGUGUCGUGAGAUGUUGGGUUAAGUCCCGCAACGAGCGCAACCCCUAUGUUUAGUUGCUAGCGAGUAAAGUCGAGCACUCUAGACAGACUGCCGGUGAUAAACCGGAGGAAGUGGGGAUGGCGUCAAAUCAUCAUGCCCCUUAUGUUCUGGGCUACACACGUGCUACAAUGGCCGGUACAAACGGAAGCGAAGCCGCGAGGUGAAGCAAAUCUGAUAAAACCGGUCUCAGUUCGGAUUGCAGGCUGCAACUCGCCUGCAUGAAGUCGGAAUCGCUCGUAAUCGCAGGUCAGCAUACUGCGGUGAAUACGUUCCCGGGCCUU
rnacentral:rRNA from 1 species